GGGCUGCUCCGGCUCGUGGCAGUUCAGGGCGGCUCAGAGCUGCCUCAGUUUGGGGUGGCUCGGGGCUGCCUGCAGCUUG